UUCCAGCUCCAAAAGUGUAUACACAAGUUGUUGCGGUUAAAAAGCUCGUAGUUGGACCGUGGGUUUGAUAACAGUGUGGCGCCAUGAGCAACGCUCUUGGAACAACGUCAGCUGGAUCUUACCAAAUACAUAGAUAACACAAGAGGGCUCAGGCACUCGUCAUCUAAAAUUUACUUUGAAAAAAUUAGGGUGUUCAAAGCAGGCAAUUUGCCAGAAUACAUUAGCAUGGGAUAAUAGAACAUGACCUUCGGGUCUUGUUUGUUGGUUUCGUACCAGAAGGUAAUGAUUAACAGGGAUAGCUGGGGUUGAUUGUAUUCAGGGGCGAGAGGUGAAAUUCUAUGACCCUCUGAAGACAAACUAAUGCGAAGGCAUUCAACAAGGAUGUUUUCAUUG
rnacentral:rRNA from 1 species